rnacentral:rRNA from 1 species
CCCAANGAGAUCGGGAUAACACCUGGAAACAGAUGCUAAUACCGGAUAACAACAGAUGAUGCCUAUCAACUGUUUAAAAGAUGGUUCUGCUAUCACUCUUGGAUGGACCUGCGGUGCAUUAGCUAGUUGGUAGGGUAACGGCCUACCAAGGCGAUGAUGCAUAGCCGAGUUGAGAGACUGAUCGGCCACAUUGGGACUGAGACACGGCCCAAACUCCUACGGGAGGCAGCAGGC